UACGAAGGGGGCUAGCGUUGCUCGGAAUCACUGGGCGUAAAGGGUGCGUAGGCGGGUCUUUAAGUCAGGGGUGAAAUCCUGGAGCUCAACUCCAGAACUGCCUUUGAUACUGAAGAUCUUGAGUCCGGGAGAGGUGAGUGGAACUGCGAGUGUAGAGGUGAAAUUCGUAGAUAUUCGCAAGAACACCAGUGGCGAAGGCGGCUCACUGGAUCUCUUCUGACGCUGAGGCACGAAAGCUAGGGUAGCGAACGGG
rnacentral:rRNA from 1 species